rnacentral:misc_RNA from 1 species
GCCAAAGGUGUCUUCAAGCAAAAGGUGAUAACUUUUUAUAAUAUAUUCAAAGCAAGAUUAGAUACCUCAUGAAGGUUGAUAUGAACCAUACAUGCUGAUGCAUAAACCCAUAUGCUUAUGCACAUUUGCUGUUUUCUGCCUUUACAAUAAGUAUGAUUUUAAGGAUAAUUGAUGGUAAAUGAAAAUAUUAUGGAAUGUGAAGCUAACUUUGUAGUAGUCAAGAAGCUAACUUUGUAGUAGUCAA